rnacentral:rRNA from 1 species
AGUGAACGCUGGCGGUAGGCCUAACACAUGCAAGUCGAACGGCAGCACAGUAAGAGCUUGCUCUUACGGGUGGCGAGUGGCGGACGGGUGAGGAAUACAUCGGAAUCUACUUUUUCGUGGGGGAUAACGUAGGGAAACUUACGCUAAUACCGCAUACGACCUACGGGUGAAAGCAGGGGAUCUUCGGACCUUGCGCGAUUGAAUGGGCCGAUGUCGGAUUAGCUAGUUGGCGGGGUAAAGGCCCUCCAAGGCGACGAUCCGUAGCUGGUCUGAGAGGAUGAUCAGCCACACUGGAACUGAGACACGGUCCAGACUCCUACGGGAGGCAGCAGUGGGGAAUAUUGGACAAUGGGCGCAAGCCUGAUCCAGCCAUACCGCGUGGGUGAAGAAGGCCUUCGGGUUGUAAAGCCCUUUUGUUGGGAAAGAAAAGCAGCAGGUUAAUACCCCGCUGUUCUGACGGUACCCAAAGAAUAAGCACCGGCUAACUUCGUG